rnacentral:lncRNA from 1 species
GUCAACAGAGACAGAUGAACAAGGAGCAAUGGAAAUCAAUCAGAAGAGAGACAGCUAAAAUUAGAAAGAAACCAAUUUUUCUUCAGGUGAUUACAUGGCCUCUCCCAAUCUCAUGACCACCACAUUGGCAGAUAUCAUGGCCAUUAUUCCAGAAGAUCACAUAGCUGAUUCAGGAGAGCUCCUAUUCACUCAGAUAGAUCUCAUGUCUACUCAGGUAGAACUAAUAGCUCUACAGAUAGACCACACCAUGACCUCUUCAGACCACUUCAUAACUACUCAGGUAGACCACAUCAUAACCAUACAGUUAGGCUUCAACAUGGCCACUCAGAUAGAUUGCAUCUUAAGCAUACAGUGAGAGUUCUUCCCAGAAACUCAAGGAUAGCUCAUCCUGGCAAUACAGAGAGAGAGAUAAUCAAGUCCAAAGAGGGAGAGCUCAUGAUAACCAUACAUAGUUAGCUCAACUUAUUAUGACAGCACAUUUCAUCAUGACCACUCAGGGAGAGCUUAUCAUGGUCAUGCAGGGAAAGCUCAAAACAACUAGUCAUGGAGAGCUCAUAACAACCAGUCAUGGAGAGAUCAUAACAUCCAGUCACAGAGAGGUCAUGACAACCAGACAUGGAGAGGUCAUAAUAAUCAUUCAUGGAGUGCUUGUAACAUCUGGUCACAGAGAGAUCAUUAUGACCGUUCAUUGAGAUCUAGUACCAUCCAGUCAUGGAUGCCUCAUGAAGCAGAAAGAUACCAUGGUUGAAGAGGAAGAAAUGGACCAAGGGAUGCAUCACCACCAGGAACUAAGACAGAAAUUG